rnacentral:rRNA from 1 species
UACGGAGGAUGCGAGCGUUAUCCGGAUUUAUUGGGUUUAAAGGGUGCGUAGGCGGCUUUUUAAGUCAGCUGUGAAAUUUUGCAGCUUAACUGUAACAGUGCCGUUGAUACUGGGGAGCUAGGAUUUGGUUGCUGUGGGUGGAAUGUGUGGUGUAGCGGUGAAAUGCUUAGAGAUCACACAGAAUAUCGAUUGCGAAGGCAGCUCACAAAGCCAAGAUUGACGCUGAGGCACGAAAGUGUGGGGAUCAAACAGGA